AAUUUCUCCCUAGGUGUGAGUGUCUGUGUUCAUGGUUGUUUGUCCUGUCUGUCUUUGUGUUGCCCUGCGACAGACUGGCGACCUGUCCAGGGUGAACCCCACCUCUUGCCCAGAACGCUGGCUGGAGAUAGGCACCAGCAACCCUCCUGACCCCACUAGGGACAAGGGUGAACAGAGCGGAAGC